UCGGCCAUUCUAGGUGGGGCAUAUUCCGCUUUGGGAGCGGAAGGUCGUGGGUUCAAAUCCCGCUAGCCCGACUA
rnacentral:tRNA from 1 species